GCCGCAACAACCAUUUUUUCUGUAUCUCAUCCUUCUUCAACCAUUUCAGAAACCUAUUGCUACCACAGACAUUAAUAUUUCACCACUUCAAUUAUUAACCCUAUUUUUUUUUCCAUAAAACCUAUCAAUGAUCUUUAUGCAGCCUUUCCAUUUGUUUAACUCUUGUUAAUUUUCUUCCAGUUACUUCUUUUCUUGUCAAAUAAAUGGGGAUAAUCAGAUCCCCAAAUCCGUCGUCAAUUUCUAUGUUCAUCAAUGGGGUUUUAGAUCCACAAAUUAGACAUCAAUUGCUUUAUACAUCUCUACUAAGUUUUGGAGAUAGAGUUUCUGGUGAGGGAAAGAAAGAAAACUCAUCGGGUGAUUUUUAGUGACGAAAAAUGGCGGGGAGUUAAUUGUCUACGGCUUGGUUAAUUGAAAUAAAGGAAGCAAAGCAAACCAGUUGAAGAAACCAGGUUGGUAAUGGCGGAUGGAAGUAAAUGGGCUUAAUGAUACGAGUAAUGGUGGUGCUCUAGUAUAACAACUAGUGUAUUAUGGAUCUAUCAUCUGGGUCGUCCUUUAGUUUUAUGAUUUUUUUUAGAGUCGUUAGAUCCUUGGACAUAUCAGGGGUACACUUGUAAACUCCAACAAUACAUUACACAAAAUUAAUUAAACUUUGGUCAUAAA